rnacentral:rRNA from 1 species
AUGGGGAGGAAAUUGCCCGCUCUUGCUCCGGCCGGGGCGGCGGGAAGGAAGCGAAAAGGUGCCACCUUGACAACGCUCGCCGCGUGCAAGCGCCCUGCGCGGGCGCAAGUAAUCGGCGGCUGGGCGUCCCUGCCCACCGACAUAGUUGGCCUCAUCACCUGCCGGCUCCUGGCCGGCGACGGCGACGGCGACGGCGACGUGGUUGAUUACAUCGCCUUCCGCGCCGUCUGCUCCGGCUGGCGCGCCUGCACGCCCACGGCGCGCGACCCCACUCUGCGGGAUCCCCGCCUACGCCCGCGCGGCUGGGUCGAUCUCUGUGACGGCGACGCCGUCCGCCCAGACGAUGCCUGCGAGAUCGUCUUCUUCCAUACGCGCACGGCCAGGCGCCUCCACGUCCUCCUCCCGGAGCUCCGGGGACACAGGAUCGUUGGCUUCACCGACGGACUCCUCAUCCUCGUGCACAAGCGCACCACCGAGGUCCGCGUGCUGCAUCCCUUCACGCGCGUCGUGGUCGAUUUCCCGCCCCUCGCCCCCGUGUACCACGCGGCAGUCAGGCGGAUGAAGCUGCUCGACAUGAGCGCCGCGAUAUGCAGCAGCGCGUCCUCGGCGACCUCCAUUGCCGUGGUGGUCUGGUUCCUCUGCACAAGUGUGGUGCUCGGCGCCGACCCGGGUUCAGACUGGGAGGUUCUCCACCGAGGUCUUUAUGUUUGGAAUACCUUGUCCUUCCAAGGAAAGCUCUACGCCACCACCCUGUCUUCACACGAGAUCCUGCAGCUAUACCCUCCUCCCACUCCCAGACAGGAACCCCUCGAGAAUUCUGUGGUGGUUGCUCAUGCUCCAUAUUUUGCUGAUCGCCUGCAUAGCGAUUUUCUACUCGUGGAGUCUGGUGGAAGGAUGCUGCUCGUCGUCCGGCACCCAGCUCCUGCGGUGACCGAUGCCUGUCUGUUUCGGCCAUGGGACCCCAUUGUGUUGCAUUCGCUGGGGACUGGUUUGUCCGAGCGCUUAGCCGAGUCCUGCAAAAUACAUGAUGGGAAGGACAGGAUACGCCCAUCUGUGCGCCCCUACACCAUUGCUGAUCAUCUCAUGACCUACUGCCAUACUCCUGAGUGGUCUAAAGGACUCAUGUUCCACGAGUACCAAUACAUACCUGAAUCUUUCAAGGAACUGAUUAAGAACAUCCGGGCACAAGAUGCGCAAGUUCUGGCAGCAUAUGGAGAAGAAGAGAGGGGGCAUGAACCUGAAGAUAUUUUGUUUACUAGGAUUGUUGAGAACUUGGUUAACCUCAUCGGGAUGUUAGGCAACAUUAAUUCUCAGCGUCUUGGGCAGGGCCAUGGGCCUGAUCAGGGCCGGUCCUGGGGAGGGGCGAACGGGGCGGCCGCCCCGGGCCCCCAAAAGUCAAGGGGCCCCUCCUAG